rnacentral:rRNA from 1 species
ACAUGCAAGUCGUACGGUGUAGCAAUACACAGUGGCGCACGGGUGAGUAAUGUAUCGCUAAUGUACCCCGAACUCUGGGAUAGCCAGCCGAAAGGCUGGGUAAUACCAGAUGAGACCACGACCUGGCAUCAGGUUGUGCUCAAAGGUUCGCCGGUUUGGGAUCAGGCGAUAUGGUAUCAGGUAGUUGGUGAGGUAACGGCUCACCAAGCCUUCGACGCCUAGCCGGACUGAGAGGUCGGACGGCCACAUCGGGACUGAGACACUGCCCGGACUCCUACGGGGGGCUGCAGUAAUGAAUCUUCCGCAAUGCACGAAAGUGUGACGGAGCGACGCCGAGUGAAGGAUGAAGUUCUUCGGAAUGUAAACUUCUAAAAUCUGUUAGAAAGUUCUGAUCAGCAGACUAUAAGUGGCGACUAACUCUGUGCCAGCAGUCGCGGUAAUACAGAGGCCACGAGCGUUAGGCGGAAUUCACUUGGGCUUUAAGAGCGUGUGUUAAGGUUGGAUCGGUAAGUACCUUGUAAAAUCCCACGGCUCAACCGUGGAACUGCUUGGUAUACUGCCAGUCUUGAGGCACUCAGGGGCGAGCGGAACAGAUGGUGGAGCGGUGAAAUGCGUAAAUUUCAUCUGGAACGCCAAUGGUGAAGACAGCUCGCUGGGGGUGUACUGACACUGAGACACGAAAGCCAGGGGAGCGAACGGGAUUAAUACCCCCGGUAGUCCUGGCCCUAACCAUGUCCACUAAAGUGUGGCACCUUCUUACGGUUUCUGCUCAAACGAAAGCGUUUAGUGGACGCCUGGAAUACCGGUCGCAAAGGCUAAAAACUCCAAAGGAAUUGACGGGGGCUCACACAAGCGGUGGAGCAUGUGGUUUAAUUCGAAGCAACGCGCAGAACCUUACCUGGGUUUGAAAUUCUAGGAUUAUCUUUGUGAAAGCAGAGUAGGCCCUUCGGGGUACAACUAGAACAGGUGCUGCAUGGCUGUCGUCAGCUCGUGUCGUGAGAUGUCGGGUUAAGUCCCUUAACGAGCGAAACCUUUGUCUUUAGUUGCCAGCGGGUAAUGCCGGGGACUCUAGAGAUACUGCCGGUGUCAAACCGGAGGAAGGUGGAGAUGACGUCAAGUCCGCAUGGCCUUUAUGCCCAGGGCCACACACGUGCUACAAUGGACGGUACAAAGCGAACCUAUGCCGCGAGGCGGUGGAAAUCGCAGAAAACCGUCCCCAGUUCAGAUCGGAGGCUGCAACCCGCCUCCGUGAAGUUGGAAUCGCUAGUAAUCGCGGAUCAGCCACGCCGCGGUGAAUGUGUUCCUGAGCCUUGUACACACCGCCCGUCAAGUCAUGGGAGCCGGAAAUAGCUAAAGUCGCCCCGUUCCAGGGGUGCCAAAGCUAGGUUCGGUGACUGGGACUAAGUCGUACAAGGUAGCCGUAGGGGAACCUGCGGCUGGAUCACCUCCUU